GGGGUAGUACUGGUUUCGACAGGGGCCAUGCAGCUGGUGAAGCUAUCCGCAUGCGAUGCGUUAAAUGGCAAAAUAAAUAUAAACGCUGAAGACAAUUUAGCAAUCGCUGCCUAAUGGCAGCUGUCAGACUUAGUGCACUCACACAUUAAGACCCUGGCAUCGACUUUGUGAGAAACGACUUGUGCAAAGCUUUGAGCACCUGGGCGUAUGAUGAAGCUACUGAAACCUCAAGGAUGUUCGUUUCCGUGAGGCAGAGGGAAUGUUAAACAACGGACUAUGAUAGUAGAAGAACAGGGAAUUGGUUUUUGGACACGGGUUCAAAUCCCGUCUACUCCA
rnacentral:tmRNA from 1 species